UACGGAGGGUGCAAGCGUUGUCCGGAUCUCUUGGGUCUAAAGGGUGCGUAGGCGGCUAAUUAAGUCAGUGGUGAAAGCCCGCAGCUCAACUGUGGAAUUGCCAUUGAUACUGACUAGCUUGAGUUUGGUUGAGGCAGGCGGAAUGGAUGGUGUAGCGGUGAAAUGCAUAGAUGUCAUCCAGAACACCGAUAGCGAAGGCAGCUUACUGAGCCGAAACUGACGCUGAGGCACGAAAGCAUGGGGAUCGAACAGG
rnacentral:misc_RNA from 1 species